GGGCUUGUGGGUUUUAAGCCAGAUCUCGUGACGUAAAGCGGGUGCGACAGGGCGCAGACUCAAAGCCGGGCCAGGUGCCCUAAAGCCGUGGUACCUGACGUCAAACCAGAGCACCCGACCUCAAGCUGCGGGAUGUGACGUAAGGCCGCGACCACGAGUGAGGGUCGAGCGGCCCCGGCACCGGGCCUGGAACUGAGCCCGGGCCCCACGGAGCCCAGACUCCCGGCGCGGCGUAUUUCCUCCCUCGCAGAGCUGAUUUGAAGCUUGAGGGGAGGGCGGAGGGGUCCCGGACCCCGUCCACGGUCGCACGGCCUGAACUCUCGGGACCGACUCCGCCGGCCAGGGCCCCCGUCUGCCCACGGGCCAGGAGCCAGGCCGUCGAAUGUUCUCAAGAUACUGAUGUGACUCCUCAACAUACAUCGGAUGAGAAAUGACCCAGAGCAGGAGGAAGAAGAGGGGGAAAAGGCCGCUUUUCAGGAAGCUGUCCUGUCCCAGGGACACCAGAUGCAUGGUGUGACCACGGAGGGGCCACAUGGAAACCAUCACAAUGCAGUGGACUCUGCCUGGCCCCUGAGUGGUCCUGGAAGUGGAUUCUCCCCUGGAAGCUGCGGAUAAGAACCUGUGCCGCAUGAGACCUGAUUUUUGACCUUGUAGGACCCUCAAGAGGAAGCCCAGCCAAGACCACUGGGAUUUCUGACCUAUGAACUGUUUUUUAAAAUGCUCAGUGUGUGGUCAUACGUUAUGGCACGUUACUAUGCAGAGGAACAAAUUAUGAAAUAUUUAAAUAAAAGGAAGUAAAAAUGCCCAUUAAUUAA